GGCGAGUUACGAUCCCGUGCGAGGUUAAGCUGAAGAGGCGGAGCCGCAGCGAAAGCGAGUCUGAAUAGGGCGUUUAGUACGUGGUCGUAGACCCGAAACCAGGUGAUCUACCCAUGUCCAGGGUGAAGUUCAGGUAACACUGAAUGGAGGCCCGAACCCACGCACGUUGAAAAGUGCGGGGAUGAGGUGUGGGUAGCGGAGAAAUUCCAAUCGAACCUGGAGAUAGCUGGUUCUCCCCGAAAUAGCUUUAGGGCUAGCCUUAAGUGUAAGAGUCUUGGAGGUAGAGCACUGAUUGGACUAGGGGUCCUCAUCGGAUUACCGAAUUCAGUCAAACUCCGAAUGCCAAUGACUUAUCCUUAGGAGUCAGACUGCGAGUGAUAAGAUCCGUAGUCAAAAGGGAAACAGCCCAGACCGCCAGCUAAGGUCCCAAAGUGUGUAUUAAGUGGAAAAGGAUGUGGAGUUGCUUAGACAACUAGGAUGUUGGCUUAGAAGCAGCCACCAUUUAAAGAGUGCGUAAUAGCUCACUAGUCGAGUGACUCUGCGCCGAAAAUGUACCGGGGCUAAAUACACCACCGAAGCUGCGGAUUGAUACCAAUGGUAUCAGUGGUAGGGGAGCGUUCUAAGGACAGUGAAGUCAGACCGGAAGGACUGGUGGAGUGCUUAGAAGUGAGAAUGCCGGUAUGAGUAGCGAAAGACGGGUGAGAAUCCCGUCCACCGAAUGCCUAAGGUUUCCUGAGGAAGGCUCGUCCGCUCAGGGUUAGUCAGGACCUAAGCCGAGGCCGACAGGCGUAGGCGAUGGACAACAGGUUGAUAUUCCUGUACCACCUCUUUAUCGUUUGAGCAAUGGAGGGACGCAGAAGGAUAGAAGAAGCGUGCGAUUGGUUGUGCACGUCCAAGCAGUUAGGCUGAUAAGUAGGCAAAUCCGCUUAUCGUGAAGGCUGAGCUGUGAUGGGGAAGCUCCUUAUGGAGCGAAGUCUUUGAUUCCCCGCUGCCAAGAAAAGCUUCUAGCGAGAUAAAAGGUGCCUGUACCGCAAACCGACACAGGUAGGCGAGGAGAGAAUCCUAAGGUGUGCGAGAGAACUCUGGUUAAGGAACUCGGCAAAAUGACCCCGUAACUUCGGGAGAAGGGGUGCUUUCUUAACGGAAAGCCGCAGUGAAUAGGCCCAAGCGACUGUUUAGCAAAAACACAGCUCUCUGCGAAGCCGUAAGGCGAAGUAUAGGGGGUGACACCUGCCCGGUGCUGGAAGGUUAAGGAGAGGGGUUAGCGUAAGCGAAGCUCUGAACUGAAGCCCCAGUAAACGGCGGCCGUAACUAUAACGGUCCUAAGGUAGCGAAAUUCCUUGUCGGGUAAGUUCCGACCCGCACGAAAGGUGUAACGAUUUGGGCACUGUCUCAACCAGAGACUCGGUGAAAUUAUAGUACCUGUGAAGAUGCAGGUUACCCGCGACAGGACGGAAAGACCCCGUGGAGCUUUACUGUAGCCUGAUAUUGAAUUUUGGUACAGUUUGUACAGGAUAGGCGGGAGCCUUUGAAACCGGAGCGCUAGCUUCGGUGGAGGCGCUGGUGGGAUACCGCCCUGACUGUAUUGAAAUUCUAACCUACGGGUCUUAUCGACCCGGGAGACAGUGUCAGGUGGGCAGUUUGACUGGGGCGGUCGCCUCCUAAAGUGUAACGGAGGCGCCCAAAGGUUCCCUCAGAAUGGUUGGAAAUCAUUCGUAGAGUGCAAAGGCAUAAGGGAGCUUGACUGCGAGACCUACAAGUCGAGCAGGGACGAAAGUCGGGCUUAGUGAUCCGGUGGUUCCGCAUGGAAGGGCCAUCGCUCAACGGAUAAAAGCUACCCCGGGGAUAACAGGCUUAUCUCCCCCAAGAGUCCACAUCGACGGGGAGGUUUGGCACCUCGAUGUCGGCUCAUCGCAUCCUGGGGCUGUAGUCGGUCCCAAGGGUUGGGCUGUUCGCCCAUUAAAGCGGUACGCGAGCUGGGUUCAGAACGUCGUGAGACAGUUCGGUCCCUAUCCGUCGUGGGCGUAGGAAAUUUGAGAGGAGCUGUCCUUAGUACGAGAGGACCGGGAUGGACGCACCGCUGGUGUACCAGUUGUUCUGCCAAGGGCAUAGCUGGGUAGCUAUGUGCGGAAGGGAUAAGUGCUGAAAGCAUCUAAGCAUGAAGCCCCCCUCAAGAUGAGAUUUCCCAUAGCGUAAGCUAGUAAGAUCCCUGAAAGAUGAUCAGGUUGAUAGGUUCGAGGUGGAAGCAUGGUGACAUGUGGAGCUGACGAAUACUAAUAGAUCGAGGACUUAACCAU
rnacentral:rRNA from 1 species